rnacentral:rRNA from 1 species
GAUGAACGCUGGCGGCGUGCCUAAUACAUGCAAGUCGAGCGAACAGACGAGGAGCUUGCUCCUCUGACGUUAGCGGCGGACGGGUGAGUAACACGUGGAUAACCUACCUAUAAGACUGGGAUAACUUCGGGAAACCGGAGCUAAUACCGGAUAAUAUAUUGAACCGCAUGGUUCAAUAGUGAAAGACGGGUUUGCUGUCACUUAUAGAUGGAUCCGCGCCGCAUUAGCUAGUUGGUAAGGUAACGGCUUACCAAGGCAACGAUGCGUAGCCGACCUGAGAGGAUGAUCGGCCACACUGGAACUGAGACACGGUCCAGACUCCUACGGGAGGCAGCAGUAGGGAAUCUUCCGCAAUGGGCGAAAGCCUGACGGAGCAACGCCGCGUGAGUGAUGAAGGUCUUCGGAUCGUAAAACUCUGUUAUUAGGGAAGAACAAAUGUGUAAGUAACUAUGCACGUCUUGACGGUACCUAAUCAGAAAGCCACGGCUAACUACGUG